rnacentral:lncRNA from 1 species
UGAAAGUGAAGCAAGACAAUGGAUGUGACUGGAACACAGCCCUAGAUUGGGCUUUGAUGGCAAAAAACUCAAUGCACAAUGUUCAUGGUUACAGCCCAUACCAACUAGUGUUCGGGCAGAACCCUAAUCUUCCCUCUGUACUGGUUGACAAGCCACCAGCACUAGAAGGGGCCAGUGUGAGGUGCAUGGGUGGGACAGCACCUGUCAGCACUACAUGCAGCGAGAAAAGCGUUCACUGAGUGCUCAGAAAGAAUUUGCAGGGCUCUGCGUAAACAGCUACGACCCACCGAUGAGAAGUACGAAACUGGAGACAAAGUGUACUACAAACAAGUUGACUGUCAAGAGUGGAAGGGACCGGGUGUAGUCAUUGGCCAAGAUGGUGUGGUGAUAUUUGUGAGGCACGGAGGCAUCAUUGUCAGGGCGCAUCACUCAAGAUUGCGGAAAGUAAAUGAUCAACAAGAUAGAGGGGCUGUUGCUGAGAAUCAUCCUAAUGAAAAGGAGACAGUAACAGACACAAACCUACCAGAUGUCAUAUCCAAUGAUAUGGACACUGAAACUGACACAGGAAAUGGAGCAGAGACCUUCAAACAUGCCACAGAUAAUACUGUUGAGCGUUCAAAUGAGGAAAACAUUCAACAACAGCCACAUGUGUUAAGACAACAUGGAUGUUCCAAUCUGAAAACUGGACGAACUGUUAAAUACAUGGACAGAGAAAGUUGUAUUCCACAUACAGCAACCAUCAUUGGACGAGCAGGAAAAGCCAAAGGAAAACACCAGAACUGGUACAACUUGCAGUACUCUGAACCAGUUACACUUUCUGGUACAACAGGGUCAGCUGACCUGUCACUUGUAGAUAAUCUCAGAAUUGAACCAAUGGAAAAUCGAGAAAAACAGAAUGACAUUCAAAAUGAUGAUGUACUUGAAACAAAGGACGUGUCAUUUGACUCAGCUAAGCUAGAUGAGCUCAGUAAUUGGAGGAAAAAUUGAGUGUUUGAGGAAGUUACAGACAUUGGCCAAAAAUGUGUCUCAACAAGGUGGGUGUGUACCCUUAAAGAGUCCUUAACUGGAAUAGUGCCUAAAGCACGUCUAGUGGCUAGAGGUUUUGAGGAGCUGGCUGCUAAACAACUCCCAAAAGACUCACCGACAUGCGCCUUAGAGUCACUCAGAUUGCUGAUGUCCGUGAUCUGCCAGAAAAAAUGGAAACUUAAUUCCAUAGACAUCAAAUCUGUCAAGGGACAUUCACAUCCGACCUCCGCCUGAAGCUAAAUGCGAAGGAACACUGUGGAAACUAAAGAAGUGUGUGUAUGGACUGGCAGAUGCAUCACUCUACUGGUACAACAAAGUCAAGGCAACAAUGCUGAAUACAGGUGGAAAACUGUCACAAGUGGAUCCUGCAGUCUUCUAUUGGCUUGAUCAAGACUGCAGUGUGACUGGAGUACUUGCCUGUCAUGUUGAUGACUUCAUCUGGGGUGGCUCACAGACCUUUGCUACAACUGUGAUUCCACACCUCAAAUCUGUUUUCCAGGUCGGCCGUGAGGAGCAUGAUAAUUUUUGUUAUGUUGGCAUAGAGUUUAUUACAGUUGAUGGGACAAUACUGAUGCAACAGGAGAGCUAUAUCAAGAAUCUUCAACCCAUUCACAUGGAUUCUUCAAGAGCCGUACAAAGGAAUUCCCCUCUAUGUGGAAUUGAAGCUGAUCAAUUGAGGUCAAAGAUAGGACAAAUUUUAUGGGUUGCUAGACAGAGUAGACCUGAUGUAAUGUUUGAUGGUUGCAACUUGGCAUCUAACACAAAACACGCCACUGUACAAACCAUUCAUGAGGCAAACAAAGUUGUUCGUAAACUGAAAUCACAACAAGUGACUAAAGUUUCAGCAUGUUGGAAAAGAUGACUCUUUGAAACUAGUUGUCUUCAGUGAUGCUUCGCUAGGGAACCUUACAGAUGGAGGCACACAAGGUGGACAUCUAAUCGUGUUAAUGGGUGAAGGAGGAAGAUUCUCACCUAUCUGUUGGCAGUCAAAAAGGAUCAGAAGGGUUGUCCGAAGCACACUUGCUGGAGAAACACUUGCUCUUGCGGAUGGAAUUGACAAUGCGAUCUUUCUUGCAGCUCUGUUCUCAGAGCUUACCACUGGUGAGACAAAACGGCACAUUCUACCUGUAGUUUGUGUCACUGACAACUACUCAUUAGUUGAUGCUUUAAAGUCAACCAAGUCUGUCACAGAGAAAAGACUUCGUCUUGAGAUUAGCAGCAUCAAGGAACUUAUUCAAGCACAGAGAAUCCAGCGGAUUCUGUGGUCGACCACAAAGGAACAGCUUGCUGACUGUCUGACUAAAAAGGGAGCAUCCGGUCUUGUGCUCCUACAGGCUCUCAGUAAUGGAAAGUGGCAGCUUGAGUAAUACAAAUAAAAACUGUCACACAACCCAUUUGUAAUGGGGAACUUAAAUAAUACUUGGACAUUUAAUUAUGUUGUUGAUGUUUAAUUUGCCUUUAAAGAAAAGGGGGAGAUUUUUAAGUUCAUGUUUUAAGUAUCCCUAUAUUUCUGUUAUUACGGGGCUAUCACUCAGUCAAGAGUGCGGCUGCGCAGGAAGUUAGUUCGUGGAUGGUCCUAGCCGUGAGUGUAAUGGCUACCUUGUAGUGUGUUCAUACAGUAUAGUAAACUUUGUUAAACUGGAACCUUGUCGUUGUGUCAUUUCGAGUUAACAGGAACCUGGCAGCCAAAGUGCAAACAUCUGACACUCAAAAUAGGGAUGUGCUUCAUCCAGAUCAAUCAGGGCAACAUGUGGAUUCGAUUUUGUUUAAUGUGAUUUAUAACACAAACAAUUUGUUUGUUAAGGAAUCUGUGAAGAAGCAGCUUUUGAAAAGGAUUCAGAAUGUGACAACCCCCAAAAAGAAGCAGGGAGCGACCCCUUCAAGAAAGAGGCCACGAAGCCUUAGAUUUCAGAGCAGCCAGGAGAUGUCCACUGAUGAGACUGAUGAAUCCACCUCCUCAACCCUGAUCUUGUGGAGAUCCCCACAAUCUAGAUGCAGCACCCCAGAGGUUGAACAGUUGGGUGAAACUACUGAGAGCCUACAGAACCAGGCGAGACAUAAUAAAACUACAGGAGAUGUACAAAACCAAGGCCAGACCCAACCAGAAGGAUGUUUCUCAGCUCCUGGACCUUGAAUUCCAAGCAAGACGGGCCUUCAUCGACUCUGAUGCUACUAAGGAGCAGGACAGGCCUAUCAAGAUACUUCAAGCGUAUCCCUGCUUCAGAGAACUGGAUCAUCUAGAUAGAUAGACAGACAGUCUUAGUCUCAG